AACGAACGCUGGCGGCAGGCCUAACACAUGCAAGUCGAAUGCCGUAGCAAUACGGAGUGGCAGACGGGUGAGUAACGCGUGGGAACAUACCCUUCGGUUCGGAACAACUCAGGGAAACUUGAGCUAAUACCGGAUACGUGCGAGAGCAGAAAGAUUCAUCGCCGAAGGAUUGGCCCGCGUUCGAUUAGCUAGUUGGUGAGGUAACGGCUCACCAAGGCGACGAUCGAUAGCUGGUCUGAGAGGAUGAUCAGCCACAUUGGGACUGAGACACGGCCCAAACUCCUACGGGAGGCAGCAGUGGGGAAUAUUGGACAAUGGGCGCAAGCCUGAUCCAGCCAUGCCGCGUGAGUGAUGAAGGCCCUAGGGUUGUAAGCUCUUUCGUCAGGGACGAUAAUGACGGUACCU
rnacentral:rRNA from 1 species